rnacentral:rRNA from 11 species
GUGCGAGCGUUGUCCGGAAUUACUGGGCGUAAAGAGCUCGUAGGUGGUUUGUCGCGUCGUCUGUGAAAUUCCGGGGCUUAACUCCGGGCGUGCAGGCGAUACGGGCAUAACUUGAGUGCUGUAGGGGAGACUGGAAUUCCUGGUGUAGCGGUGGAAUGCGCAGAUAUCAGGAGGAACACCGAUGGCGAAGGCAGGUCUCUGGGCUGUAACUGACGCUGAGGAGCGAAAGC